ACGUGUGCUCAGCAUCGCGGGGAAAUCCAAGUUCGAAGUGAAAACGUUCCCGCGCCGCCGGAACCUCAAAGCUCCUAGGAGACCCGGUGGCUGGUGCUCGGCGCGCCCGCCUGGCACGCCCGUCGGCGCAUCGGAAAAUGGGGGGCCUGUCUGGCCCAGACGCCGGCUUAGGGUCCAGGGCGAAGCGUCACUUACCACCUGUUGGGAAACCUGCAGGACGUGACCUCAGCACAGGAAGACGCUUUUUAAAAAAAAAAUAGGGAAAUAGCCGUGUUGUCAACGUCAGGAAUUUGUGUGUUUGCUUCUAGCCACACGUUCAAGUCUCGAGUCAGAAACCCUCCCCGACCCCUUGGAAGGGCCCCCGGCGGCUCUGGAGGGCAGUGGAGUGGGCGCCUCGCGUGAUAUUUCAGCGUAACUCCUCCUCGGGGACCCUGGUGUCUUCAGUGAAAGUGCUGUGGAGACCACCUCAUCCUGCUGGUUCUGGCUGGUGAUCCUUUGUUUAAGUCCUUCUGCUACUAAGUAUUUGUGUAAUAAAGUUGGGAUGAAAUCUUAGAAAAGAAAAAGUUUAAAAAAUUA